rnacentral:rRNA from 1 species
AACGUAGGUUCCGAGCGUUAUCCGGAUUUACUGGGCGUAAAGCGCGUUCAGGCGGUUUGGCAAGUCGGGCAUGAAAUCUCUCGGCUCAACCGGGAGAGGUUGUCCGAUACUGCUGGACUUGACGGCAGUAGAGGGUGGUGGAAUUCCGGGUGUAGUGGUGAAAUGCGUAGAUAUCCGGAGGAACACCAGUGGCGAAAGCGGCCACCUGGACUGCACCUGACGCUGACACGCGAAAGCUAGGGGAGCGAACGGG